AUAUCAAUAAGCGGAGGAAAAGAAACUAACAAGGAUUCCCCUAGUAACUGCGAGUGAACCGGGAAAAGCUCAAAUUUUGAAUCUGGCAGUCUUUUAGAUUGUCCGAGUUGUAAUCUAGAGAAGUGUUUUCCGCGCUGGACCGUGUAUAAGUUUCCUGGAAAGGAACGUCAUAGAGGGUGAAAAUCCCGUCUUUGACACGGACUACCAGGGCUAUGUGAUGCACUCUCGACGAGUCGAGUUGUUUGGGAAUGCAGCUCAAAUAGGGUGGUAAAUUCCAUCUAAAGCUAAAUAUAGGCGAGAGACCGAUAGCGAACAAGUACCGUGAGGGAAAGAUGAAAAGAACUUUGGAAAGAGAGUUAAACAGUAUGUGAAAUUGCUGAAAGGGAAACGCUUGAUGUCAGUCGCGUUGGCUGGGGAUCAGUCUUGCUUAACUGCGAGGCGUAGUUCCUGGUUGACGGGUCAGUAUCAGUUUUGACCGUCGGAAAAGGGCUUAGGGAAUGUGGCACUCUCUUGGGGGUGUGUUAUAGCCUUGGGUCUUGAAUACAAUGGUUGGGACUGAGGAACUCAGCAUGAGAGGGAAACCUUUCUUUUUGGGGCUUCGGCUCACAUUUACAUGCUUAGGAUACUGGCAUAAUGGCAUUAAGCGACCCGUCUUGAAACACGGACCAAGGAGUCUAACA
rnacentral:rRNA from 1 species